rnacentral:rRNA from 1 species
CCUACGGGAGGCAGCAGUGAGGAAUAUUGGUCAAUGGACGAGAGUCUGAACCAGCCAAGUAGCGUGAAGGAUGACUGCCCUAUGGGUUGUAAACUUCUUUUAUAUGGGAAUAAAAUGUUCCACGUGUGGGAUUUUGUAUGUACCAUAUGAAUAAGGAUCGGCUAACUCCGUGCCAGCAGCCGCGGCAAUACGGAGGAUCCGAGCGUUAUCCGGAUUUAUUGGGUUUAAAGGGCGCGUAGGUGGAUUGUUAAGUCAGUUGUGAAAGUUUGCGGCUCAACCGUAAAAUUGCAGUUGAAACUGGCAGUCUUGAGUACAGUAGAGGUGGGCGGAAUGCGUGGUGUAGCGGUGAAAUGCUUAGAUAUCACGAAGAACUCCGAUUGCGAAGGCAGUUCACUGGACUGCAACUGACACUGAGGCUCGAAAGUGUGGGUAUCAAACAGGAUUAGAUACCCUUGUAGUC